UGGAGCGAGAUCGAGAGACCCCAAGUGACCCUUCUUGCGCCAACCAAUGCAGCGUUCAGCAGCCUCCCGACGGCCUACCGAAACAACCUUGACAAGCAGGCCAAUUUUCUGAAGAGCACAAUGAUGUACCACAUCUUGGACGGCAUCCACGGCCCCGAUUCU
rnacentral:lncRNA from 1 species